ensembl:snRNA U6 U6 spliceosomal RNA
UUGCUCGCUUCAGUAGCACAUAUACUAAAAUAGUAAUGAUACAGAGAAGAUUAGUAUGGCCCCUUAAAAAAAAUCACCUUAGGGCUUGUUAAAACACACAUUCCU